GAAGGCGCACAGGAGACUGAAGAGCAGCGCGGCCGGCUGCAGCCAAGGGCUGAGCUGCGCGCCGCCCCCGGGAGCACCUCCCCGAGGGCCCGGGAAGACGCCCCCUCGGGCUCCUUCCUCCUCCUCCUCCUCGGCCGCCGCCUCCUGACUCUUCUCCAGCUCGCCUCCGACCUCCCCGCCGACCAGCCUCACCAGCAGCGCCAGCAGCACGGACAGGGAGCCCGCGCACAGCGCCGAGGAGAGUUGAGGCGAGCGCCGGAGCGGCUGCAGCGCCAGGGCUCUCCAACAACAGCCGGAGCCCCGAGGGGAUGGAGAGGACUCGCCACGAUGGCGGUGGUUCCCUCUUGCCACACGGGCGGGACUCGCCCCUCCGAGGCCCGGCUUGGCUAGGUCUUGGGCGGCCUCGCCCCGCACUGCCAUGCUCUGCGGACAACCCCCACCCGUCCCACUCGCGCGUCCGCGCUCUUCUCGAGCCCACUCUCGGAAUCACUUCUUCCGGAUCUACGCGAAGUUUCAGCCUUGCAGAGAACUCAAGAGUGCGAGCUGAAGACUUCAAGUUGGCAGCUAGCAGGAUCAGCCUUGGAAUUUUCAACCCCCACUCCUCUCCUUUUCUCUUUCUCUCUCUCUCUCUCCCUCUCCCUCUCCCUCUCUCCUUUCCUUUCUCUCUUAAAAGUCCUCCGCUCCACCCUCAGCCAGAGUUUAUACCCUGCGGGGUCUCUUCCUACUUCGGGAUUUUAACACUUGCUCAACUCACUGAGUGCUCAGGGACCGCUGAUGCUGAGGCAGGCUGGGGCACUGGGCGAGCUCAGGCCAUCCUUGGGCGUUCAGGGACGGCAGGAAAUAUAGAGUGAGAAGAAUAAAAAGAUGAGAAAGGAAUAGAGAGAUGGCUCAGCAAUCAAGAGCCCCUACUGCUCUUUCAGAGAACCCAAGGAGUUCCCAGCACCCACAUCUGGUGGCACAGAGCCACCUGCAUUUAACUCUAGUUCCAGGGGAUCUGAUGCCCUCAUCUGGACUCCACAGGUAUCUGUACUCACACAUAUUCACACAUAACAAACAAAAGGACAGACAGGCAGAAAGAAAACUUUUAAGUAAUUUUAAAAGUCUAUCUGGGAGUGCCAGGACAUAUAACCCCGGGAUCUAGAAAGCUGAAACAGGAAAAGUGUUGGGAGUUAGAAGACAGCCUGCAAGACAAAUGGAACACUGGGGGAAAGUGUAUCCCUCUCCCCAACUCCAGAGCACAAGUAUCCUUAGUCAACAGUUACUGUUUAUGUGUGGUAAAUUCUACUAUUUGCUGAGCUUCCUCUGCAGAGCUAGGAAGCCCAGCUAGUGACACACACCCACAACAAACAAAAUCCCUCCAUUAUUAAUGAUUUCAUGAUCACAUACCACAGUGACCAUGUGGCAUUUAGAAAACCACGAUGCUAACUUCAUUGGCAGUCUAUGCAAAAGAAUUCCGGAUCUGCUCAGUAUAUUCAAAUGACAUCAAAGUGUUGCUGGAAUAAGAAGUGUCAACUCUUGCUCAGCUUGAAUAGUGACUGACUGGGUGUCAUUUGUCUCUCCCAAAUAAUAAUAAACUGAUGUUUGUCUC
ensembl:antisense Gm28523 predicted gene 28523